ensembl:lncRNA
AUAGCACUUUAGGAAGAGCAAGCGCUUAGCAGCUCAGGGCCCGCUGGUACCAGUCAGGGAUGAGGAGGCUACAGGAGCUGGAGCAGCAGCAGCAGCAGCAGCAGCAGCAGGAGAAGCAGGAGAUUUGUCUGAGGGGGGUGGCAGGGAAGGACCAGAAAGACAUCAGGAGCAAGAUGGAGGGGGUAGCACAUCAUCUCGUCUAAUAGAGAAUGCUACUGUAAGUAUCGAUGCACAAAAUUUGUGUGCUAAUCUCCACUGUCAGUUUUAAGUUGCUAAAUACAUUGGCAUUGACGUUUUCCUGGAAUAAUGCUUGUUGGUUUUAUUUGUUUUUUUUUAACAUAGCUCUAUGGCACUGUGGUCUGUAAAAAAUGACCAUAUUCAUCUCUGUCUUUGCAGUUAAGAGCAAAACAGCGGCCAGCAGAGACUCUGAGGUACCAAGUGAAGGAACCUUCAGUAUUGGUGCGAAAACUGUUUAGCAGCAGAGGACGUGCAUCAGGCUCGGGAAAGCUCCUUUUCCAACCAUCAAUUGGUAGUUUGUGUGUAUGUACAUAACUGGGUUUUGUUUUUGUCUUCGUUUAUGUAAUGAAAAACUAUCUCUUGUUUUCACAGAGCAAUACUUGACUGUUUACAAAAAUAAACUAGAAGGAGAGCAGCCUUCAAAGAAAAAAAAAAGAGAAUGCUGUAUCAGCGAUCAGCCGCAUCAAAGGAUUCCCCUGGUACAUGGCAGAAGGCCACACAGCCACUGAGUCCUGGCAGUUCCUGGACAACAGUAAAAGAAUCAGACAAUGGGGCCUUUUCUGUCAGGCGCAGGGGAGAACGGGCCUCACACUCAACUUUUACCUCCGCAAUGUCUCUGACUUUGUGGGGUACCUCUCCUCUCACCCUCCACCUCUCUGUGAGCUGUCACGGUCACAGCUCAACAGACUUAUGAUGGACACCAGGGUGUCUUCUUCCACUUUGCCUGAGCGCCCAUCCUUCCCCUCGUCCCAGGCUGCAACUGUCCUGCACCAUGCUGCCUCUGGUCCUAGUCCAGCUGUCCCUGCACCCACUCCUGGUUUGAUGGAGGACAUUUGUUUGGAGCCUUGCCUGACUGAACAUUUAACAAUUAACCUGGCAGACCUGUUUGAUCCAAACAAUACCCUGCUUGAAAUGUUUCAAAUGUGAACAACUGUAAUUACAAGUUCAAGUAUUGAAUAGUAGCUGUUCUUGUUCGCUAAUGUAAUAAAAACUGGUUUGUUUACA